rnacentral:rRNA from 1 species
UACGUAGGGGGCUAGCGUUGUUCGGAAUUACUGGGCGUAAAGCGCGCGUAGGCGGCUUUGUAAGUUAGAGGUGAAAGCCCGGAGCUCAACUCCGGAACUGCCUUUAAAACUGCAUCGCUUGAAUCCAGGAGAGGUGAGUGGAAUCCGAGUGUAGAGGUGAAAUUCGUAGAUAUUCGGAAGAACACCAGUGGCGAAGGCGGCUCACUGGACUGGUAUUGACGCUGAGGUGCGAAAGCGUGGGGAGCAAACAGG